UACGUAGGGUGCAAGCGUUAAUCGGAAUUACUGGGCGUAAAGCGUGCGCAGGCGGUUCUGUAAGUCUGUCGUGAAAGCCCCGGGCUCAACCUGGGAAUUGCGAUGGAGACUGCAAGGCUUGAAUCUGGCAGAGGGGGGUAGAAUUCCACGUGUAGCAGUGAAAUGCGUAGAGAUGUGGAGGAACACCGAUGGCGAAGGCAGCCCCCUGGGUCAAGAUUGACGCUCAUGCACGAAAGCGUGGGGAGCAAACAGG
rnacentral:rRNA from 1 species